rnacentral:rRNA from 1 species
UACAGAGGGGGCAAGCGUUGUUCGGAAUUACUGGGCGUAAAGGGCGCGUAGGCGGCCUGCUAAGUCGAACGUGAAAUCCCUGGGCUCAACCCAGGAACUGCGUCCGAUACUGGUUGGCUUGAAUCCGGGAGAGGGAUGUGGAAUUCCAGGUGUAGCGGCGAAAUGCGUAGAUAUCUGGAGGAACACCGGUGGCGAAGGCGACAUCCUGGACCGGUAUUGACGCUGAGGCGCGAAAGCCAGGGGAGCAAACGGGG